rnacentral:rRNA from 1 species
UACGUAGGGUGCGAGCGUUAAUCGGAAUUAUUGGGCGUAAAGAGCUCGUAGGCGGUCUGUCGCGUCGGAUGUGAAAAUCCAGGGCUCAACCCUGGACCUGCAUUCGAUACGGGCAGACUAGAGUUCGGUAGGGGAGACUGGAAUUCCUGGUGUAGCGGUGAAAUGCGCAGAUAUCAGGAGGAACACCGGUGGCGAAGGCGGGUCUCUGGGCCGAAACUGACGCUGAGGAGCGAAAGCGUGGGGAGCAAACAGG